AUUGAACGCUGGCGGCAAGCCUAACACAUGCAAGUCGAACGAGUGGCGGACGGGUGAGUAAUGUCUGGGAAACUGCCUGAUGGAGGGGGAUAACUACUGGAAACGGUAGCUAAUACCGCAUACCAUCGGAUGUGCCCAGAUGGGAUUAGCUAGUAGGUGGGGUAAAGGCUCACCUAGGCGACGAUCCCUAGCUGGUCUGAGAGGAUGACCAGCCAAAAUGGAACUGAGAAACGGGCCAGGAGCCUAAGGGAGGCAGGAGGGGGGAAUAUUGCACAAUGGGCGCAAGCCUGAUUCAGCCAUGCCGCGUGUAUGAAGAAGGCCUUCGGGUUGUAAAGGCCUUUCAGAGGGGAGGCGUUACCCGCAGAAGAAGCCACGGCUAACUCCGUGCCAGCAGCCGCGGUAAUAC
rnacentral:rRNA from 1 species